CAGCCAUUGACAUUAACUUUGAUGCUGGAGAUGGUGCUGGAGCUGGUGCUGGAGCUCACAGAAGCAGUGCCCCUCCCCCUGGCACGGGUGGUUCCGGUGGCAUUGGUGCCUCCGGCUUGAGCACCUCUGGUACUGGUACUGGCGCUGGUGCAGGCGGUGGUGCAGGCUCUGGUACUGGCGCCACUCCAACUACUGCAUAACGACAUCGCUGCCAUGCAGCCCAUGUGCUCCUUUGAUGCCCAUGGACCGUCUGAAUAUUGCAGCUCAAGAGCAUACGUCGAUAAGAAGACAAUAAACAGCCACUAGAAAAAAAUUUGUUCGUUUUGAUGUGAUAAUGAAUUGAUUUCAUAAAAUACUACGCAAAAAUAAUUGAUAGAUUGCCUCACAUCGAAACAUUCGGAUAACAUAAUUCGGGAAUGUACGCACAGAAGCUCCAUGCUUAUUCACUAACUGUUACUAAGCUUG
rnacentral:lncRNA from 1 species